rnacentral:tRNA from 1 species
GCCACCCUAGCUCAGUUGGUAGAGCAGCUCAUUCGUAAUGAGCAGGUCGUCGGUUCGAAUCCGAUGGGUGGCUCCA